rnacentral:rRNA from 1 species
UACAGAGGGUGCAAGCGUUAAUCGGAAUUACUGGGCGUAAAGGGUGCGUAGGUGGUUUGUUAAGUCAGGCGUGAAAUCCUCGGGCUCAACCUGGGAACUGCGCUUGAUACUGGCAGACUCGAGUGUGGUAGAGGAUAGUGGAAUUCCCGGUGUAGCGGUGAAAUGCGUAGAUAUCGGGAGGAACAUCAGUGGCGAAGGCGGCUAUCUGGACUAACACUGACACUGAGGCACGAAAGCGUGGGUAGCAAACAGG